UACGUAGGGUGCGAGCGUUGUCCGGAAUUAUUGGGCGUAAAGGGCUCGUAGGCGGUUUGUCGCGUCGGGAGUGAAAACCUCGGGCUUAACUCGGGGCUUGCUUUCGAUACGGGCAGACUGGAGGUAUGCAGGGGAGAACGGAAUUCCUGGUGUAGCGGUGAAAUGACGCAGAUAUCAGGAGGAACACCGGUGGCGAAGGCGGUUCUCUGGGCAUUACCUGACGCUGAGGAGCGAAAGUGUGGGGAGCGAACAGG
rnacentral:rRNA from 1 species